rnacentral:rRNA from 1 species
CCUACGGGAGGCAGCAGUGGGGAAUCUUGCACAAUGGGCGAAAGCCUGAUGCAGCCAUGCCGCGUGAAUGAUGAAGGCCUUAGGGUUGUAAAAUUCUUUCGUCAGGGAUGAUAAUGACCGUACCUGAAGAAGAAGCCCCGGCUAACUUCGUGCCAGCAGCCGCGGUAAUACGAAGGGGGCUAGCGUUGUUCGGAAUUACUGGGCGUAAAGCGCACGUAGGCGGACUUUUAAGUCAGGUGUGAAAUCCCGGGGCUCAACCUCGGAACUGCAUUUGAAACUGGGAGUCUUGAGACCAGGAGAGGUUAGCGGAAUACCGAGUGUAGAGGUGAAAUUCGUAGAUAUUCGGUGGAACACCAGUGGCGAAGGCGGCUAACUGGACUGGUACUGACGCUGAGGUGCGAAAGUGUGGGGAGCAAACAGGAUUAGAUACCCUGGUAGUCCACACCGUAAACGAUGAGAGCUAGUUGUUGGCAGGCAUGCCUGUCGGUGACGCAGUUAACACAUUAAGCUCUCCGCCUGGGGAGUACGGCCGCAAGGUUAAAACUCAAAGGAAUUGACGG